rnacentral:rRNA from 1 species
AUUGAACGCUGGCGGCAGGCUUAACACAUGCAAGUCGAGAGGGGACUUCGGUCCUAGCGGCGAACGGGUGAGGAAUGCUUGGGAAUCUGCACAGUAGCGGGGGAUAACGUUUCGAAAGGAACGCUAAUAACGCAUACGCCCUACGGGGGAAAGGGGGGGAUCUUCGGACCUCUCACUAUUGGAUGAGCACAAGUCGGAUUAGCUAGUUGGUGGGGUAAAGGCCUACCAAGGCGACGAUCCGUAGCUGGUCUGAGAGGAUGAUCAGCCACACUGGAACUGAGACACGGUCCAGACUCCUACGGGAGGCAGCAGUGGGGAAUAUUGGACAAUGGGAGAAAGCCUGAUCCAGCCAUGCCGCGUGUGUGAAGAAGGCCUUCGGGUUGUAAAGCACUUUAAGCGAGGAGGAAUGGCUCUUGGUUAAUAACCUUGAGCAGUGACGUUACUCGCAGAAUAAGCACCGGCUAACUCUGUGCCAGCAGCCGCGGUAACAC